rnacentral:rRNA from 1 species
CUAGGAUGAACGCUGGCGGCGUGCUUAACACAUGCAAGUCGAACGGAGUUAGAUGAAACCCAGUGAUUCUAAACUUAGUGGCGGACGGGUGAGUAACGCGUGGGUAACCUGCCCUAUACAGGGGGAUAACAGUUGGAAACGACUGCUAACACCGCAUAACAUCGCGAGAGCGCAUGAUCUUGCGAUCAAAUAUUUAUAGGUAUAGGAUGGGCCCGCGUCUGAUUAGCUGGUUGGUGAGGUAACGGCCCACCAAGGCGACGAUCAGUAGCCGUACUGAGAGGUAGAACGGCCACAUUGGGACUGAGACACGGCCCAAACUCCUACGGGAGGCAGCAGUGGGGAAUAUUGGUCAAUGGGGGAAACCCUGAACCAGCCGACGCCGCGUGAGUGAAGAAGUAUUUCGGUAUGUAAAGCUCUAUCAGCAGGGACGAUGAUGACGGUACCUGACUAAGAAGCCCCGGCUAACUACGUGCCAGCCGCCGC